CUACGUGCCAGCAGCCGCGGUAAUACGUAUGUCGCGAGCGUUAUCCGGAAUUAUUGGGCAUAAAGGGCAUCUAGGCGGCCUAACAAGUCAGGGGUGAAAACCUGCGGCUCAACCGCAGGCUUGCCUUUGAAACUGUAAGGCUGGAGUAUCGGAGAGGUGGACGGAACUGCACGAGUAGAGGUGAAAUUCGUAGAUAUGUGCAGGAAUGCCGAUGAUGAAGAUAGUUCACUGGACGAUAACUGACGCUGAAGUGCGAAAGCCGGGGGAGCAAACAGGAUUAGAUACCCUGGUAGUCCCGGCCGUAAACGAUGAUUACUGGGUGUGGGCAGGAAGACUGUCUGUGCCGAAGCAAAUGCGAUAAGUAAUCCGCCUGGGGAGUACGGCCGCAAGGCUGAAACUCAAAGGAAUUGACGGGGACCCGCACAAGCGGUGGAGCAUGUGGUUUAAUUCGACGCAACGCGAGGAACCUUACCAGAUCUUGACAUCCCG
rnacentral:rRNA from 1 species